ACGGCUCAGUAACACGUGGAUAACCUGCCCUUGGGUCCGGCAUAACCCCGGGAAACUGGGGAUAAUUCCGGAUAACGCAUAUAUGCUGGAAUGCUUUAUGCGUCAAAUGGAUUCGUCUGCCCAAGGAUGGGUCUGCGGCCUAUCAGGUAGUAGUGGGUGUAAUGUACCUACUAGCCAACGACGGGUACGGGUUGUGAGAGCAAGAGCCCGGAGAUGGAUUCUGAGACAUGAAUCCAGGCCCUACGGGGCGCAGCAGGCGCGAAAACUUUACAAUGCGGGAAACCGUGAUAAGGGGACACCGAGUGCCAGCAUCAUAUGCUGGCUGUCCAGGUGUUUAAACUACACCUGUUAGCAAGGGCCGGGCAAGACCGGUGCCAGCCGCCGCGGUAACACCGGCGGCCCGAGUGGUGGUCGUGAUUAUUGGGUCUAAAGGGUCCGUAGCCGGUUUGGUCAGUCCUCCGGGAAAUCUGAUAGCUUAACUAUUAGGCUUUCGGGGGAUACUGCCAGGCUUGGAACCGGGAGAGGUAAGAGGUACUACAGGGGUAGGAGUGAAAUCUUGUAAUCCCUGUGGGACCACCUGUGGCGAAGGCGUCUUACCAGAACGGGUUCGACGGUGAGGGACGAAAGCUGGGGGCACGAACCGGAUUAGAUACCCGGGUAGUCCCAGCCGUAAACGAUGCUCGCUAGGUGUCAGGCAUGGCGCGACCGUGUCUGGUGCCGCAGGGAAGCCGUGAAGCGAGCCACCUGGGAAGUACGGCCGCAAGGCUGAAACUUAAAGGAAUUGGCGGGGGAG
rnacentral:rRNA from 1 species